CACGGGUCAAAGGCACUCUCCUGUGAAGGUCAGAAUCCUCCUCUGAACUGAGGCUGUGGUUAGAACUCGGCCACGGGUCGAAGGCACUCUCCUGUGAAGGUCAGAAUCCUCCUCUGAACUGAGGUUGUGGUUAGAACUCUGCGACCGACCCUCCUCCUGUGAAGACAUCUCUUCUUUGGAGUAGGGGUUGAGUCGGACUCUUGCAGCCUGGCCUGUUCAGAGUACUCCUGUAGUUAGUAUCUCGACGUAAGGACAUACACACCUGAUAUGGGUCUUGACGGCAGAAGCUGGAUGGCUCGGUUUUUGGGGUGAGAGACAGCAGACGUACAUGUACAAACCUGAUAUGGGCUGGAUGGCUCGGUUGUUGGGGUGAGAGGUAAGAUUCCUCCUCUGGAGUGAGGUUGUGGUUAGGACUCUGCGACAGGUCAAAGGCACUCUCCUCCUGUGAAGCUCAAGCACACCUGUCCAGUAAAUGUUUCUCCAUAGCAACGCCUUCUCAUGGAUCUGACCAAUCAGGUUGCGUAACACCAGGUGGAGGUAGCAGGAGUGUGGCUGCCCAGUUGCCCAGAUUGAGAGCGACAAAUGUCGAGAGAGAAGACUUACCAAUAAGAGAGAGUGAUGUACAGUUUGGAUUCAUUGAGAAUGACGCUAUUUUGAUGUGAGGAACCGAACUGGCAGUAUUCAAACAGUUACAGUCAAGAGAUGACCAUCGAGAGGCCUCUCUUCCAAUCAAACGCUACCAAGGUCACACACAGGAGGUGUGCAGACUCAGAUGCAGACUGCAGACAGUGUGCAGACUGCAGACGGUCAGCUCUUAGCCUCAGGUGGAGAUGAUAACAAGUGAGCUGGAUCUGAAUGUGCGUGCCCUAAGUCUGGUUAUGUCAGGGCUGGUGCUCCAGUCCAAGAUCAAUGUUGUUCACGUCUUUAAAGAGAAGAAGCUUUUCCUUAAAGUGAGCAACACACACCUCACACCACACCACACAUACAUGUAUUCUAUGUGAGGGGUCUUGUACAUGUACGUAUGUAGCAGGGUUGUCCAGUAGUGCCAUCAGGCGUAGUAAGUGCAUCAUAAGGGUCCAACUAAUAUACUAUGGGACCAGCAUGAUCAGCACAUUAUACCAUGUACAUGUAGGUACCCUAGCAUGUACCAG